UAACAUUUUAAUAUAGUUCUCAAUCAUUGACCACGGCUCUUUUGGAAUAUUCACAGUAUCAAUAAAGUAGGCUAAAGAAGUUUGUUCAAAUUCUAAUAAUUAAAGACGGAUAGUCUCUGAACAGGUUAGUACAGUCUGUUAACACAGGAUAUAAAUUAUAUGUAAAAAUAAUCGUUAAAAAUCUGUUUACAUUGACAAAAUUUGCAGCUUGAUCAAAUCAAAUCAAAGCAAAAUGUUAUAUAUGAACCAAUUUAGUAUGAAGGAUGUGUCUUGGCUUUAUUGCUCGUUUCGUUUGGCUUGCUGCUCAUUCUUUUGUUAGUUUUACAACUUUAUUGAAGUUAUCUACAUGAUUGUGUGAACGAAAAGCGUCAGCCAUCAGAAUGGCCUUUAUUACAUAGUGGCUAACUAUAUUCCGUUAUUAUUUAACUAUUUAAUAUGUUUGUUACUGCCAUGUGUAGCCCAUGUAGGUACAAUUAUACUACAUUAUUAAAGUAAAAUAUCGUGAACUUGACCAACAUUUCAAAUUAUAAUUGGCGUUUAUUGAAUGUUUAUAUUCAAGGAAAACGUACUGCGUUAUUAUUUGAUUGCAAAUAUAAAGCAGCCUCUUGCGGAGGCGUGGAUGCAUAGGUAAUCAUAGCAACCCAAUAAUACGUGGAUUUGUGAAACAGUGGCGUAGCUAGCCGUCCCGCUGUCCCCCGGGCAGGACUAACAAUUUCAAAAAAAAUGAGGAAAUGUUUUAUAGUGAAGCCAAAAUCACAGCUUUGCUUAUUCUGUAAAUUUAAAUAUUAAUUAUGAUCAUUUUUCAGUGCUUUCAGUUGUCAUUUAUUUAAAGUUUACGAAAUAUUGCUGUCUGCUCUUUGACCUCUUUGUUGUCUAGCAACUGAUACCCUGCAGAAUUAGCUAAUUUCCACGCAAUUUAUUGCUUACUCACGCAAUUCGUAAAUCGCAUGUCACAUGUUCCGCUGAUUUUCAUAUGACGGAAUAUGCAAUACUAUUUUAUACAAGAAAUUCUGGUUUCUGGUUGGAUAAUUGGCGCAGCGCAUGCCCAAAACGGCUGUUUUCAAUGCGGAAGUCCCGCUAUUUUAUGAAGGGGGAGGUUGUUUAAUUAAAUGCUUUAUAUGUCACAAAAUUGGGGGGUUUUUUAUUUUUGAGUAGCGGACAAAAAGUUAGUUAAUAGGUUCUUUAACAUUUUUCGGUUUUCGCUUUUCAUUCACGAGAUAUGAGGCUCUAAACAGCGAUUUUCGUAAAAAUGUCGCGUAUCAACAAGAGUCUGGGACAAGCCUGGUGUGACGUAGCUUAAGGAACUUAAUCACGACGGGCAUUAUACAUUUCUUUAUAUUUUGUAUGUUUUCCAGUACUCAUGGUUCUCAAUGUGACUCAGAAUACAAUUACAUUGCUGGAUAUAUUAUAGAAGAUGAAUCAAAUGAUACCAGUCAUGAAAUUUGAACUCUAGAAGCAGUUGAUAGCGAAAUUUUAGGCGAUUGUGAUGAAUGCCUUUAUGCCGAUGAAUCGCUAGCGAGCGAAGAAUGCUACACGCGAUGGAGCGAUUGCAGAAUACCCGUCCACAUUUGAAGACCUCACUUGUUAUCAUGAUACGAUGAUACGAAGUGAAAAUGAUUACGUAAUAACUAUAUAGCUGCUCUAUUAUAAAAGCCUGGGUAAGCUAUAUUUUUGGCUGAUACGAAGAUACGGUGAUACGAAGGGAAAAUGAUUACGUAAUUACUAUAUAACUGCUCUAUUGUAAAGC